CCUACGGGAGGCAGCAGUGGGGAAUAUUGCACAAUGGGGGAAACCCCGAUGCAGCGACGCCGCGUGAGCGAAGAAGUAUUUCGGUAUGUAAAGCUCUAUCAGCAGGGAAGAAAAAUGACGGUACCUGAGUAAGAAGCACCGGCUAAAUACGUGCCAGCAGCCGCGGUAAUACGUAUGGUGCAAGCGUUAUCCGGAUUUACUGGGUGUAAAGGGGGCGCAGACGGCGAUGCAAGCCAGGAGUGAAAGCCCGGGGCCCAACCCCGGGACUGCUCUUGGAACUGCGUUGCUAGAGUGCAGGAGGGGCG
rnacentral:rRNA from 1 species